CGGCGAACCGCAUCUCAACCUUGCAAAAUAGAAACUGAAAGGCUCCGUGCCUGGAGAGUGAGCCCACAGGACUCUCCAGCUUCUUCAAGUCUUUCAAGUUCCAAACGUCCAGUUGCGCGCAACUAUUGUUCACUGAAGAGGUUGGAAUCUCCAUCGGACGUUUAUCAACUUCUAACAAGGACAGAGAAUCAGACAUUCAGCUCUGCUCCAAUCCUCCUCAGCUCCGAGAUGAACCCGUGCCCUCCCCAUCUAGUGUCUCUUUUCCAGCUAAAGAGAUUAUCAGUGCGACUGGUCGACUACUGCACAACACCAGGUCAGCAAGGAACAAAUGGCAAGAGCAACAAAUAUGGAGAAACCCCCAAAAUGGGUAAACUACGGAGGGCAGGAAAAGAAUCACAACAUUCUAGGGAGAAAAAAGGCUCAAUCUCUGGAGAGGACUUUUCUAUGGAGCAGGAUCUGACCCGACACCAAAGCAUUCACAACAAAGGAAACAAGUCCUACGUCUGUAACCUGUGUGGCAAAGACUAUUCAAGUCUAGGCGGCCUCAAGUCACAUCGGCUCAUUCACACUGGAGAGAAGCCUUAUCACUGCAAAGACUGUGACAAGCGUUUUAAUCAUAUGUCACAUCUCAUACUGCACCAGCGCAUUCACACAGGAGAAAAACCAUAUGAGUGCAAAGACUGUGGAAAACGCUAUUCACAGGCCAGAAAUCUUAGAUGUCAUCAGCACGUCCACACCGGAGAGAAACUCUUUCACUGCAAUGACUGUGGCAAAGGGUUCGCGAGGUCAGAUGGUCUGAAAGUCCACCAGCGCAUUCACACAGGAGAAAAGCCUUAUCCCUGCAACCAGUGUGACAAACGUUUUUCAACAUCAAACUAUCUCCGUGUGCACCAGCGCACUCACACGGGGGAGAAACCUUACCCUUGCAAACAGUGUGGUCAACAAUUUUCACAGGACAGCAAAGUCAGACGUCAUAUGCUAAUUCACACUGGAGAGAA